rnacentral:lncRNA from 1 species
UUGGUAGUAAAGGAGGAUGAUGCAUUUCUUUUCCAAUAUUUGACAUCCAUUUGUUUAUAAUGAUUUCAUCAACUGAAUCUUGAAGUUUGAAAAAAGUACCUUGAAAGGAUACCCACAGAAAGCUUAUAAAAUAAACAUACAUGUGUAUGAUACAUGUGAAUAGCUAGAUCAUUGUGUAUGAUACAUGUGAAUAGCUAGAUCAUGCGGAAUAUGUUAGGUUUGCCAAUAUUAGGUUUGGCUAAGGAGGCUUCGAGCUAAACAUAUUAUAGUAGCAAGUUAGGUAGGUG